CCCUCACAUUCAAAGAUAACACCAAUAAACAAUAUUGAAACUAGAAGCACUGACCCAGCAAAAAGGUUCAUAAAUUUAUCCUGCCCGUAGCUGAGACCAGCGCCUGGCACACUACAGCCCAAAGUCAUGCGCCUAACGGGCUGGAGGGCUUAUGAAUUUACGGGCUGAGAACUUUGUGGACUAGAUUGCUAUUAGUUCCCAGGCAUCCUCUGAGAUAGCCAAUGCCCAGAGAGAGGACAGUGUGUUCCCUGCCUGGCGUAAGGGCAAGGAGGCAGAGGUGAGGUGACUGGCAGGGUGCAGAAGGCAGCUUGGGGCCCCUUGGAUUGGGAGUCAAGACAUGGGAGGAAAGGAGUGCUUCUGGGGAUGGAUCAUACACCCUGCUUCAGACACUGGCCUCCUUAGGAUGGCAGGGUCCUGUCCCGAUACAGUGCCACUGGCUACGCAUAAUUUUAAUACACUAUCCAAACAGGUGAUUGAAAAAACAAAGUUCCCCCUCACCUACAGGGUCCUGAGACCUUGGGGAAGCACAGUUAAGCAGCAAGCCCACGUCCCUAGGGGCACCCAUGCCAAGGAGCAUCAACCCCAAGCAGCCUUCUGUGUGAGCUCUUUAAAUUCAGCUUUGUGAGUAGGAGAGGAAGCUUGGAGACAGGAAGCCUUCUCAGAGCAGCCAGCGUGGAAGGAGAUCCACAUGUAGAUCUUCUGAGGAUGGAUGGACCAAUGGACUCCUCCUGCGUACAAGUUCCUGAUGCAGCUUCUCAUCCCAGGUCCUGCCUGAGUCCCGUGGAUGUGACCUACUUUGGAAAGGGUUCUCUAGGAAGGUGGGUGUGGUGGUACAAGACGGCAAUCCCAGCAACUGGGAGGUGGAUGCAGGAGGAUCAGGAGUUCAAGAUCAUCCUAAUUACAAAAUGUGUGACCUGCAUUUCUGAUACCUGAAUCAUCUGAGCUGUCAUCUGUACAGACCAUCAUUGCUCAUGUGGGUAAGUUUGCACCUGAGCUGCUGGCCAUUCCCUUCCCUUCCCAUCUCUUCCCAUGGCCUCAGAACACAGACAUGUUCCCUCAACGCCUCCCAUAUGCUUUCUCCUGUGUGUACCCAUCAUCCUUUGCAACUUCAAUGUCCCCUUCAUGUCCAGGUCUUCCCUGAGUGCUUUAUUUUAAAUUGCACCUCCGCUACCCUGGAUUCUCAGAUCUUUACUUUUUGUUCAUGGAAUUCAUCAGCAUCUGUAGGCCAUCUAGUUUGCCUGUGUCUUUGUUUAUCCUAUCUCCCCUUGGCCUAGUCACCCUGCAGACGCAUGUGCUGGCUGAGCUUUCUGCUGGAUCCAGCACCCAGGACAGCAUCAUUAGGAGGCCAGGACUCAGUGGUUCUUGUACACAAAGACACUGAAUUAGGAGCUGGAAUUUAGUAGAUAAUAAAACAGGCAUUUAGAAUUCAAUGGGGGAGGAUUAUCUGAUACAUGAUUUUGAGAUGCAGCAUAUUAGAGAAAAAUUUAUUUUAGGUACCAUAGCCUUCCUGUCUGCUAAAUGAAGACUAUUCAAAUAUGUUUAAGAACCUACCAAAAAAUUAGAGAUACUGUGCAAUACUAUGUUAUGCUGGAGAGGGAGAAUCCUGAAGACCAGAAGCAGGAGGGCAAGUUCCACAGCUAACAGUAAUCAGUCUGCCAUUUAAAAUCCAAAGCCUUUGUGGGGUCACAGCACCUGGCUGCAGGCCUGCCACAGGUCUUCUCAUCUUCCCUCACUGGCCUCCUGCCAAGGUGCACAUGCCAUCAGCGAAGCCCAGCUCCCUGUUCAAUGCCUGGGUUUACUCGUGGCCUAGAGGGCCAUGCUGGUGGCCUCAAAGCAUUUGAGUGGCCACUGCCUAUCAGCCACCUUUGACCCUGGACCGAGUCACCUGCCAGCCUGGUAGCCUUCUCCCCAGUCUUUGACCGACACUGGGCUGGGCAGAUUUCCCGGGAGCUGGCUCUGCCCUCGUGUGCUGGAAGCAUUCUCUCCUUGCUUACUCUCCCUCCCUCAUACCUUGGAAGCUGUCACAUCUGCCUAGCACUAAGGGUGUGGCCAGGGAAAACCUGGACUGAUGGGCAUUGCCAGGGACACAGACCCGGGGUCCUGGGUCCUUGGAGGAUGGCAGAUUUACAUGGCAACUGACUUCUCAGAGUGAUGAGCUCUUCAGUCUGCACUGCAGCCCAGGGUGAAGCCGAGGUUUCACCCUCAUUGGAAUGGGAUCCUGCCUGAGAAGGCCUGUGGUUUGUAUGACUAUGUAGCUGGCUGGAAAGGAACGUAUGAAGGAAACCAGGGCCCCAGGCAAUGGGAGAGGCUGGGGCUCAUCUCUGCUCUGAUUCUCCUGCUUCACGGGCCCCCGGGAAGCAGGUGGCUCUGCUUCCCUCAACAGAGUCCCGUGGCUCGCAGUGGGUCCAGGCUCAGCAGAGGCACCACUCACUCACACUGUCUGCACUGCCCUCAGGUCGCCUUGCCUUGGACAGUGACCUUGAGCAGAGGGCACUUUGCAUUCCCUGAGCCCACACGCCACCCCACCCUGAGCUGAAGAGCCCAGACUAUGUGCUGACGUGGUGAUCCCUUCACAACUGCUUUGUCCUUCAGGACUGUGGGGGAACAAGUGACAAUGGACCAGCUUGUGGGGUGCAGGGUGGAAUUUCAAGCCCCUGCCUCGGUGGUUGUGCCUCAAGUGACAAGGGCGUUUAGUCUCCUCCUCUGCCCCUCGGCCUCCUCAGCUCUGGCUGGGCUGCUGGUUUUUCCACUGGAGGGGAGACUGGCAGAAAUGUCUUAGCUCAGAGAAUGACGACGACAUAACGGUGGAAUUUCUGGCUUAGGGAGGCACCUGGCGAGGGGAGGUGGUUCUGUGUUCCUAACCUCUUCUCAUGUUACUCUAGCCCUGUGAACACACAUCAUGCUUCUAAAUGGAGAGUGUGGUCGGGCUUGGGCUGGGGCGCAGACAGCUUUAACUCCGAGAUGCUUUGCUACUGUUCUGCAGAGCCAGGCAACCAGACUUGACGACUUUCUGGGGCUCUGUUUCCUGUCCUGUGAAGGAGACAGCUUUGGAGAGACAAUCUAACGUUCUUCCCACCUCUAAAAUCUUCAGUGUUUACAUAGAGAUUUAAACAUUUGCUCUGAAAUUUAAAAAAAUUUCCAUUCGUUCAGAAACUACAGAAUCAUUUUAGAUCUCAACCAACAGGAUGUUUCUUAGAACUGUCAUAAGACUUUUCCCCUUCUGGGUUCUUUUAGUGUGUAACAUUUUUUGAUGCUCCUGAAAUCAGAACGGACUGUACCAGUGAUAGCGAAGGAACAUGUACACACUCACACUCACAUAUACAUCACCCUCGAAUACACACAGACAGGUGUCAAUCCAUUCCCCAGCGCACACACGCACACACACACACACACACACACACACACACACACACACACACAUGCUCGCACACACAUGUAUGCACACCUGCCCUCACCUGGCCUCCCCAUCCCAGGCUACUGGGUGCUACACAUGAUCUAGGAGCUAGACUCUUUCCAGAGUGACAAGGGUGUUUAGUCUCCUCCUCUGCCCCUCGGCCUCCUCAGCUCUGGCUGGGAUGCUGGUUUUUCCACUGGAGGGGAGACUGGCAGAAAUGUUACCGGACUUAGGUACACCUAUCCCUGUGCACUGUGACGAAGAAAGACCUCAUGAGCUGUGGCAAGCAGCAGAAAGCUGCAGAACGUAACUGGAACAGCCUAAGAAACCAGAGCCACUGGCUGAAGAUGGCCUCAGACUGGAUGUAAGCAACUGGCCAAGGAGCUGCUGAAUUGCCGAGGCAUGGAUACGGUGAAAUCACAGAUGCAUCCUGGGCAGCCCCCAAACUCCUCAGGGCAGAGCUGGAGUUGCAGAGGUUCUUGGCAAGGACUUAGCAUGCUUGGUUCUUCAUCGAGAUGUGGAAGUCUAGGAAAUGGAUGCAACAGUGUUGUCUCCACCGGCCUGGAGAGGUGGUGAGCAGGAUGGGUAACACUCCCUAGUGUUUCAGCUGGUAAUUCAUUUGUAGCCACACAUCCUUAUAUAAUGGCAGUGGAGCACUGAUAAUGAUGAGUGCUAACUACCAGGCAGCCACUGGGCAAAAGUCUCUAGCAUUUCACUUCCUGCUCCAGUGGCUCUGAGGCCCAUUCAGUGUCAUGGUGCAAUUGUCAUUUUCCUGGGUGUGUGGUGGCUAAUUGGGACAUGUAUCUGCGGCCUUAUGGCCAGUUGGAAGAAUGGUGUCAGUGGUCCAAAUGGGUGAUGUUGGCCAGGGGCUUUGCCGUGGACACUCCAGAUGGUGGGGACUGAGUCGGGGAGGGAGAAUAUUGAAUAAACUUCCUCAAACCAUCUGGUCACCCCCCACUUCCCUUCCCCUCUGCCUCAAAACUGCUCUCACUUCCCUUCCCAGGGGAACACAAAGGCUGUCAGUGUAAACAUACGCCUUCUGACUGGGUUGCAUGGAGGAGCUAGCCCAAAGGCCGGUUACUGGAGUGGAACUGGUCAUCCAUCUCACCUGGGCAGACUGGCUCUUCCCACUAGCAUCAGCCACAAGUCCCUGUGGGCUUUAAGUCUGAAGAUGGCACCAUUCAUGGAGCCUACUCAGUCCUCAGCCACCAUAAGUUCAAUCCCAGGAUGUAAAUGAUUUGUAGCCUGUUCAGGAGGGAGAGAGGCCGCCACCUUCUAAAUGGCUCAUGCCCAUAACCAGAAUUCAUUUGUGAAUUUCUCAGUCAUAAUUGUACUUAUAAUUUAUAUUGAUAAUAUCAGCUCAUCAGUCAACAAUGGAAUCAAUUUAUCAAUCCAGUUUAAUGAUUUUA